rnacentral:rRNA from 1 species
GCUUUACACAUGCAGUCGAGCGGGGAAGGGUAGCUUGCUACCUAACCUAGCGGCGGACGGGUGAGUAAUGCUUAGGAAUCUGCCUAUUAGUGGGGGACAACAUUCCGAAAGGAAUGCUAAUACCGCAUACGCCCUACGGGGGAAAGCAGGGGAUCUUCGGACCUUGCGCUAAUAGAUGAGCCUAAGUCAGAUUAGCUAGUUGGUGGGGUAAAGGCCUACCAAGGCGACGAUCUGUAGCGGGUCUGAGAGGAUGAUCCGCCACACUGGGACUGAGACACGGCCCAGACUCCUACGGGAGGCAGCAGUGGGGAAUAUUGGACAAUGGGCGGAAGCCUGAUCCAGCCAUGCCGCGUGUGUGAAGAAGGCCUUUUGGUUGUAAAGCACUUUAAGCGAGGAGGAGGCUACUGGGAUUAAUACUACCGGAUAGUGGACGUUACUCGCAGAAUAAGCACCGGCUAACUCUGUGCCAGCAGCCGCGGUAAUACAGAGGGUGCGAGCGUUAAUCGGAUUUACUGGGCGUAAAGCGUGCGUAGGCGGCUUCUUAAGUCGGAUGUGAAAUCCCUGAGCUUAACUUAGGAAUUGCAUUCGAUACUGGGAAGCUAGAGUAUGGGAGAGGAUGGUAGAAUUCCAGGUGUAGCGGUGAAAUGCGUAGAGAUCUGGAGGAAUACCGAUGGCGAAGGCAGCCAUCUGGCCUAAUACUGACGCUGAGGUACGAAAGCAUGGGGAGCAAACAGGAUUAGAUACCCUGGUAGUCCAUGCCGUAAACGAUGUCUACUAGCCGUUGGGGCCUUUGAGGCUUUAGUGGCGCAGCUAACGCGAUAAGUAGACCGCCUGGGGAGUACGGUCGCAAGACUAGAACUCAAAUGAAUUGACGGGGGCCCGCACAAGCGGUGGGAGCAUGUGGGUUAAUUCGAUGCAACGCGAAGAACCUUACCUGGUCUUGACAUAGUAACGAACUUCCAGAGCAUGGAUUGGGUGUCUUCGUGGAAGUUUAUUACAGGUGGUGGCGUGGGUUGUCGUGAGC